AUCUAACUAACAAGUCCCAAAUCGGACGAAACACGUGUCCUGGAU
rnacentral:hammerhead_ribozyme from 1 species